rnacentral:tRNA from 1 species
UCCCUGGAGGACAAGUGGUUAGGCCACAGCGCUCUCACCGCUGCGGCCCGGGUUUGAUUCCUGGCCAGGGAA